AUGUUAUGGUCACCUGGAAGGAUCUCCAAGUUGACCUACUGCGCUCCUUGCUGGAAACCUUCAGGUCAGAGGUCAUGCUGAUGUUUCCAGCUUAGAGCAGACAGACAGGUCCAGCUGAUCUCUACCUGCUUUGUUACCAGGAGAAUCUUUGACCCUGUCUGGAGAACUGGAAGAGACCUUAAGUUCUUUUCUCAGCAGAUGUCAGGCAGCUGCUGCAGCAUUUCAUGCUGAUAAUCCUUCAACCACGAGUACCAACAACCAACCAUCUCUGGACCUCUCUGCUCAGCUGACUCACAGCCAGACUCGGUUCUACCUUCUCACCGUGUCCUCCAGCUCCAGAAGGACAAAGGAACGCCGCUCACCUCCCCAUGUUUCCAGCACUUGGGUCCUUCUGGCCUCAUGAAACCAUGACAACGACUUCA